GCAGCAGUGGGGAAUAUUGGACAAUGGGCGCAAGCCUGAUCCAGCAAUGCCGCGUGGGUGAAGAAGGCCUUCGGGUUGUAAAGCCCUUUUGUACGGGAAGAAAUCCUGUCGGUUAAUACCCGGCGGGGAUGACGGUACCGUAAGAAUAAGCACCGGCUAACUUCGUGCCAGCAGCCGCGGUAAUACGAAGGGUGCAAGCGUUAAUCGGAAUUACUGGGCGUAAAGCGUGCGUAGGCGGUUGGCUAAGUCAGAUGUGAAAGCCCUGGGCUCAACCUGGGAAUGGCAUUUGAAACUGGCUGGCUAGAGUGUGAUAGAGGAUGGCGGAAUUCCCGGUGUAGCGGUGAAAUGCGUAGAGAUCGGGAGGAACAUCCGUGGCGAAGGCGGCCAUCUGGAUCAACACUGACGCUGAGGCACGAAAGCGUGGGGAGCAAACAGGAUUAGAUAC
rnacentral:rRNA from 1 species